rnacentral:rRNA from 1 species
UACAGAGGUCUCAAGCGUUGUUCGGAUUCAUUGGGCGUAAAGGGUGUGUAGGUGGCGCCGUUAGUCGGGUGUGAAAUUUCGGAGCUUAACUCCGAAACUGCAUUCGAUACUGCGGUGCUUGAGGACUGGAGAGGAGACUGGAAUUCCUGGUGUAGCGGUGAAAUGCGCAGAUAUCAGGAGGAACACCGGUGGCGAAGGCGGGUCUCUGGGCCGAUACUGACGCUGAGGAGCGAAAGCGUGGGGAGCGAACAGG